AACACAUUCAAAUCAAAUAUUGUACAAAAAAUCCAAGAUGGCCACAAAUCAACCAAAUUUCUACUUUCCAUUUCCACAUCUCCCUCCUCCACCUUCCCACCCCCUCAAUCCUCCGCCAUCACCUUUCCACCCCAUCAAUCCUCCACCAUCACCUUUCCACCCUUUUAACCCUCCACCACCUCAUUCCAUCAAAUCUCCACCACCAGCACCAUCUCAUUCAUCCCCUCCUCCUCCUCCUCCUCCACGCAGACGCCCUCCACCGCCACCAUC
rnacentral:lncRNA from 1 species